UGGGGAAUAUUGGACAAUGGGCGAAAGCCUGAUCCAGCAAUACCGCGUGUGCGAUGAAGGUCUUAGGAUUGUAAAGCACUUUUAAUCAGGAAGAUGGCUAAGUAUAGUAAAAUGAUGUUUAGUUGACGUUACUGAUAGAAAAAGCACCGGCUAACUCUGUGCCAGCAGCCGCGGUAAUACAGAGGGUGCAAGCGUUAAUCGAAAUAACUGGGCGUAAAGAGUACGUAGGCGGAAUAAUAAGUCGUGUGUGAAAAACCGGGGCUCAACCUCGGGACUGCAUACGAUACUGUAAUUCUAGAGUUUGGUAGAGGUAAGUGGAAUUUCCGGUGUAGCGGUGAAAUGCAUAGAUAUCGGAAGGAACACCAGUGGCGAAGGCGGCUUACUGGGCCAAUACUGACGCUGAGGUACGAAAGCGUGGGGAGCAAACAGG
rnacentral:rRNA from 1 species